GCAGUCGCCGCGGUAAUACGUAGGUGGCGAGCGUUGUCCGGAAUCAUUGGGCGUAAAGGGAGCGCAGGCGGGCAUGUAAGUCUUUCUUAAAAGUGCGGGGCUCAACCCCGUGAUGGGAAAGAAACUAUGUGUCUUGAGUACAGGAGAGGAAAGCGGAAUUCCCAGUGUAGCGGUGAAAUGCGUAGAUAUUGGGAGGAACACCAGUGGCGAAGGCGGCUUUCUGGACCGCAACUGACGCUGAGGCUCGAAAGCCAGGGGAGCGAACGGGAUUAGAUACCCGAGUAGUCCCUGUCUCUUAUACC
rnacentral:rRNA from 1 species